CCUACGGGUGGCAGCAGUGAGGAAUAUUGGUCAAUGGACGAGAGUCUGAACCAGCCAAGUAGCGUGAAGGAUGACUGCCCUAUGGGUUGUAAACUUCUUUUAUAAAGGAAUAAAACGAGGCACGUGCGCCUUUUUGCAUGUACUUUAUGAAUAAGGAUCGGCUAACUCCGUGCCAGCAGCCGCGGUAAUACGGAGGAUCCGAGCGUUAUCCGGAUUUAUUGGGUUUAAAGGGAGCGUAGAUGGGUUGUUAAGUCAGUUGUGAAAGUUUGCGGCUCAACCGUAAAAUUGCAAUUGAUACUGGCAGUCGUGAGUACAGUUGAGGUAGGCGGAAUUCGUGGUGUAGCGGUGAAAUGCUUAGAUAUCACGAAGAACCCCGAUUGCGAAGGCAGCUUACUAAACUGUGACUGACAUUGAUGCUCGAAAGUGUGGGUAUCAAACAGGAUUAGAUACCCCAGUAGUC
rnacentral:rRNA from 1 species